AUGCUGGAGGUAUCGGAAGUGCGAAUGCUGACAUGAGUAGCGAUAAAGGGUGUGAAAAGCACCCUCGCCGUAAGCCCAAGGUUCCUGCGCAACGUUCAUCGGCGCAGGGUGAGUCGGCCCUAAGGCGAGGCAGAAAUGCGUAGUCGAUGGGAAACAGGUCAAUAUUCCUGUACCGCUCUUAGAUGCGAUGGGGGGACGGAGAAGGUUAGCUCGGCCAUCUGUUGGAAUAGGUGGUUUAAGCGUGUAGUCGUGCCGCGUAGGCAAAUCCGCGUGGCUUAGAUGAGGCGUGAUGACGAGGAUCCUCGGAUCCGAAGCGAGUGAUACCCAGCUUCCAGGAAAAGCCUCUAAGCUUCAGUCUAAGAGUGACCGUACCGCAAACCGACACAGGUGGGCUGGUAGAGAAUACCAAGGCGCUUGAGAGAACUCAGGAGAAGGAACUCGGCAAAUUGAUACCGUAACUUCGGGAGAAGGUAUGCCCCUGGUACGUGAAGGCCCUCGCGGCCGGAGCGGAAC
rnacentral:rRNA from 1 species